AAAACUCCGGGAGCGGUCGUCCCGGAAGCGGAAGUCUCGAGGUUUAGUCCCGCCCACCCCCCUCGCCGCUUAGGCUCCGCGGCCUCCAAGCUGUAGCUAUGACUGCGCGCGGGACUCCGAGCCGCUUCUUGGCCAGUGUUCUGCACAACGGACUGGGUCGCUACGUGCAGCAGCUACAGCGUCUGAGCUUCAGCGUCAGCCGCGACGGCGCCUCGUCUCGCGGCGCCAGGGAGUUCGUGGAGCGGGAGGUGAUCGACUUCGCCCGACGGAACCCAGGGGUCGUAAUAUAUGUGAACUCGCGUCCGUGCUGCGUGCCCAGAGUAGUGGCCGAAUACCUUAACGGGUCUGUGCGCGAGGAGAGCAUCCACUGCAAGUCGGUCGAGGAGAUCUCGACGCUGGUGCAGAAGCUGGCCAACCAGUCGGGUUUGGACGUGAUCCGCAUCCGCAAGCCCUUCCACACCGACAACCCUAGCAUCCAGGGCCAAUGGCACCCCUUCACCAACAAGCCGACCACUUUCCGCGAGCUAUGCCCCCGAGAGGUUCAGGAUCCUGCCCCAGCCCAGGUGCAAGCACAGUGAAGAGUUGCUCCACCCCAGGCUUUGGACUGUUUCUCCAGUAAAGGUGGUUCUUCCCCUUUGGGGUUCCAAGCCCAGGACACUGGCCUGAGACUGUCUGCAGUUGCACGGCAGAUCCUCCUGCCCGGCUGGCCCGACCCAACACGAGCGACACGGGCCACACGGUGACUGCUGCGGCUCUGAGUGAAGCUGCCAGAGCCCUCCUCAGUGGCACGCUCCGUGAAGAAGUAGUAUACCUUGUCGUCGUCACCCACUGCACUGGCCUUGCUCUCCCGCACGAGGACGGAGAACACAAACUCAGCAUCUGUGGGUCAGGCAGUUUGAGAGGCUUUUGAGACAGGCUGGGGACCCCUUUCCCCCACUCUGAGUCCUACCCCUCACUUGACAACACACAGGAAUGGAAUGGGCAGGCUCACCUGGGGACUUGGGGGUGGGGUGGUCAGCUGGCCAAGGGAGUAAAAAUGAAGAAAUAGUCCCCUACCCCCCAUCAUCCUGUGCCUCAUCCUCCUAACCAUUGAGCCAAUGCAUUGGUGUCUCCUCAGUUCUCAGGGAGUGUGGGUGGCGGCUCCGACGGAUGUCGGGAAUGCUCCGGAAUUCAUACCGAGUGGCUGUGUAGAGGCCUCCAUCUGGCGUGGGGACAUUCCAGGCAUGAGAGACGUGUCAUAUACAACAGGGCACAUGACAUAUAUGUGGUGGCAGGUCCUAGAGAUGAGAUCCACAUCUUAAAAACAUCAUGCUUGUGAUAGGGAAGAGGGCCUGCUCACCAAUGAUGAGGCCCGUGAAGCCACGGGCUGGGUCGUAAGGACACUUCUCCUUCCCCUCCUCAAAGCUGGUUGGCAAGGUGAAGGCCUCAGCAUCCUAGGGAACAAGGGACCAGCAGUAACUGGUUCAGAGAACAGGUAGGGACAGUGGCUCCAAGUCAGAUCAGUCUGGGGUCAGGGAUCAGCAAUCAGGGCUAGGGGCAGGUUGUAUGGCAGAUGCACCUGACAGCAAUAACUUAAGCAUCCCCUGAGAAUGACCUUAUGGCCUAAAAACAAUGUAUGUUUGGAGUUCCAAAUCUGCAAGUGGGCAACCCAGAGUUUCACUCCUUAUCUAUGAAGAACACAUGAGCCCCUAGCCCAUCCUGUGGAACACGUGCCAUCCAGGGGAUCAAGUCCCUUUGUUUUGGGUUAAAUGAAGUUUGCCAGGUGGAGGUGAUUAGGGGGAGGCUGCUAAGUGAAAUGCUAUAUAAACUGCAUGCUUUUUACAAAGGGGAGUGGUUCUCCAGUGCAGCCCGCCACCACAGGACUGCCCUGUAUGGAAGUCCCCUUAAUAAACCAUCCAUCUCCUUCA